rnacentral:lncRNA from 1 species
AGGUGCCACGACGAGGCGAGCGCGCAGGAGGGGCGUGGCCUAAGCGCGAGGAGCGCGUUCUCCUCUGCUCCAGCCUCCCAGAGGCCCUGUGGGCCUCGCGGGGACGUCGGCCGCCUGCCUCCUCCACGGCCUGCGGAGACUGUGGGCUGGCGCGGGUCCCCGGCGCGGUGCGAGGGCCCGGAGCCGGCUCCCUGGGGGUUCGUGCGCCGCCCGGCCUCGGCUACCUCCAGCGCGCCUGCGUCGCCGCCGCCGGCGGACUCUGUUCCCGUAGAGGCCGCUAAGCUGAGUGAUUCCAUCUCACCGAUCGUCUGCACGUCCAUUCCUUCGUUUCUCCUAGUUCAGAAGCGACCCCUCGUUUCCCAGCGACAACGGCAGAUAGGACGAAACAGCGACAGGAAGCUGCGGGCGCUAAGGAGGGCUGCUGCUCUGCGAUACGGCAGCCAAACGAGGCAACCGCGGAGAGGGAGGAGCCCCCAGCA